rnacentral:sRNA from 1 species
GGGGCCAGUCCUAGGUGUUUGGUGGACUGGAAGCUCCAGGGUGCCUCUUCUCGUGACCAGAGCUCUUUCUCUGUCCCCAGAUCCCCAUACCGAGUGUGCCUACGUUCCAGCCGUCUACACCUGUCCCUGAGCGCCUGGAAGCUGUGCAGCGCUACAUCAGGGAGCUGCAGUACAAUCACACAGGGACACAGUUCUUUGAAAUUAAGAAGAGCAGACCUCUGACAGGGCUGAUGGACCUGGCCAAGGAAAUGACCAAAGAGGCCCUGCCAAUCAAAUGCCUGGAAGCCGUGAUCCUGGGAAUUUACCUCACCAACAGCAUGCCCACCCUGGAGCGCUUCCCCAUCAGCUUCAAGACCUACUUCUCAGGGAACUACUUCCGCCACAUCGUACUGGGGGUGAACUUCUCGGGCCGCUACGGUGCGCUGGGCAUGAGCCGGCGCGAGGACCUGAUGUACAAGCCGCCCGCCUUCCGCACGCUCAGCGAGCUCGUGCUGGACUUCGAGGCCGCCUACGGCCGCUGCUGGCACGUGCUGAAGAAGGUGAAGCUGGGCCAGAGCGUGUCACACGACCCGCACAGCGUGGAGCAGAUCGAGUGGAAGCACUCGGUGCUGGACGUGGAGCGCCUGGGCCGCGAUGACUUCCGCAAGGAGCUGGAGCGCCACGCCCGCGACAUGCGGCUCAAGAUUGGCAAAGGGACGGGCCCUCCUUCUCCCACCAAGGACCG